CAGGCAGUGAGCGGGGUGGACGGCUGCCGCCCUGCUACCCGGCCUCUGAUCCACGCAAAGCCGGCCCUGUUACCCUCCCUGUGGGCCAGUGUGGGGCCCAACUGUCGGUUGUUUCGGUCUAAGAACUCGCCUACCUUCUAAGAUGGUGCUCCGUGGAGAGGAAGAUUCCCCCCUGGGCUCUUGGCGCCUUUGGCGCGCAAAUCUGUGCACCGCACCUGAAACUCAUGCGGCUCCAGAUGUCCAUUCUGGGUGCCAACAAUUGACACCGAGGCCCCACAGUGGAGUACACAUCAUCGUUCCUGGUGGACCGCCUGAGACGCAGACCGAUCUCUCUACCCUCGCUACAUCUAGCUACUCCAACUCUGUUACCACCACACUGCCGAUCCUCAACAACCC